rnacentral:rRNA from 1 species
AUAGAGACUCAGAGCUGCAUAUCAAUAAGCGGAGGAAAAGAAACUAACAAGGAUUCCCUUAGUAACGGCGAGUGAAGCGGGAAGAGCUCAAAUUUGAAAUCUUCAAGGUUUUACCUUGACGAAUUGUAGUUUAAAGAAGUGUUUUCUGUUGGAGUUUUGGUAAAAGUUCCUUGGAAUAGGACAUCAUAGAGGGUGAGAAUCCCGUAUUUGACUUAUUCAUUCUAGCUUUGUGAUACACUUUCAAAGAGUCGGAUUGUUUGGGAAUGCAGUCCAAAAUGGGUGGUAAAUUUCAUCUAAAGCUAAAUAUUGGCGAGAGACCGAUAGCGAACAAGUACCGUGAGGGAAAGAUGAAAAGAACUUUGAAAAGAGAGUUAAACAGUACGUGAAAUUGUCAAAAGGGAAGCGUUUGACACCAGUGUUGUUUUUCUCGAAAAUCAAUUACGAAUGGCUUGAUUUUGUGUUGUAUUGACCUUAUCAGCUUUCUGCACUUUUUUCGAGUCUUUCUUAAUGCACUUUUUGGUUAACAAGUCAACAUCAGUUUCUUUUGUUGUAAAAGAGUAUUCGGAAGGUGGCUUUCUUUUCGGAGAAAGUGUUUAUAGCCCUAUACUUCUACAAUCGGAGAGAUUGAGGUCUGCAGCGUAGAUCCUUCGGGGUUAGAUACACUUGUGCUAAGUUGUAGCUUUUCAUAGACAACUUGUUGACUAUGUUUAGUCAUGCGGCUUACUCGCUUGUGCUAUUUUACCUACGCUUAGGAUGUUGACGAUCAGCUGAGCGCG